UCCCAUAGGAGGAAGAGUUGCGCAAGGGUGGAGACCCCAAAUAUGCCCAUUUAAAUAUGGAUCUGCAUGUCUUCAUUGAAGUCUUUGGACCCCCAUGUGAAGCUUAUGCUCUUAUGGCCCAUGCUAUGGAAGAAGUCAAGAAAUUUCUAGUACCAGACAUGAUGGAUGAUAUCUGCCAGGAGCAGUUUCUAGAAUUGUCCUACUUGAAUGGAGUUCCUGAACCCUCUCGUGGUCGUGGGGUGUCUGUGAGAGGACGAGGAGCUGCCCCUCCUCCUCCACCUGACAAGAUGACUGGAAUGGGACCAGGCCAUCACUGAAGGCUCCUCCAGCUAGGCCAGUGAAGGGAGCAUACAGAGAGCACCCAUAUGGACGUUAUUAAAAACAAACAGGAGGGGAAAAUAUCAGUUAUGAGCAAACUUGUUACUGAUUUCUUGUAUCCCAGGAUUCCUGUUGCUUUACCCACAACAGACAAGUAAUUGUCUAAGUGUUUUUCUUUGUGGUCCCUUUCUUUUCCCCACCUUCCUCCAUUC
rnacentral:lncRNA from 1 species